rnacentral:misc_RNA from 1 species
GAUGAAGAACGUAGCGAAAUGCGAUAAGUAGUGUGAAUUGCAGAAUUCAGUGAAUCAUCGAAUCUUUGAACGCACAUUGCGCCCCUUGGUAUCCCGAGGGGCAUGCCUGUUCGAGCGUCAUUUCACCACUCAAGCCUGGCUUGGUGUUGGGCGACGUCCCCUUUGGGGACGCGCCUCGAAACGCUCGGCGGCGCGGCACCGGCUUUAAGCGUAGCAGAAUCUUUCGCUUUGGAAGUCGGGGCCCCGUCUGCCGGAAGACCUACUCGCAAGGUUGACCUCGGAUCAGGCAGGGAUACCCGCUGAACUUAAGCAUAUCAAUAAGCGGAGGA